rnacentral:sRNA from 1 species
UAUUUUGUAUGAUCUCCAGAGCA